AAAGUGCUAGCACAUACAUUUAAUAUAUUAAAAUUGGAAUGAUGCAGAGAAGUUUAGCAUUGUCUAUGCAUGCAGAUCACAUGCAAAUUUAUAAAGUUUUCCAUAUUUUA
rnacentral:snRNA from 1 species